rnacentral:lncRNA from 1 species
AGGGCUAUGGGGAGAGUUGGUAUCAAUGGGAGAAAACUUGCUAAGGUAAACAAUUUUAAGACAAUGGAACUUUUGAUUUCAAUUAAGCACCGAUAUCAGCUAGAAGAAAUAAUAUUGUUGGAGGUAAGGGAUGGAAUAUUUCCGAUUAGGAUAAAAGAAAAAGGGUUGACGAAAGCGAUAAAUGAUAAAACAAGGAAAUAAAGGGUGCAACAGGAGAAAGAGGAAGAAGAAUCAUCGGAAGUCGGAUUAACAGUCAGAUCGAAAUCGGAGCUAUCUUCGGAGGGCAGACAAAACAACUAGGAAGAGAAAGUUAAUGCACCUUGCAUCGAGAAAGAUGGAAAUGGGAAAAGAAGUCAAAGAAUGUCAGCGGAUGCAAUAAAUGAAGAGAAUUUUUUAAGCCAUUACGGGAGUAUACCAGCUGUGGGAGAUGCAUCAAACAUCUUA